UGACGAAAGUAGUGUGCAGCCA
rnacentral:siRNA from 1 species